CGGGGGCAGCAGGCGCGAAAACUUUGCAAUACACGAAAGUGUGACAGGGCUAUCCCGAGUGCCAUCCGCUGAGGAAGGCUUUUACCCAGUCUAGAACGCUGGGGGAAUAAGGAGAGGGCAAGUCUGGUGUCAGCCGCCGCGGUAAUACCAGCUCUCCGAGUGGUGUGGAUGUUUAUUGGGCCUAAAGCAUCCGUAGCUGGCUAAGUUAGUCCCUUGUUAAAUCCACCGAAUUAAUCGUUGGAUUGCGGGGGAUACUGCUUGGCUAGGGGACGAGAGAGGCAGACGGUAUUUCUGGGGUAGGGGUGAAAUCCUAUAAUCCCGGGAAGACCACCAGUGGCGAAGGCUGUCUGCUAGAACGCGCCCGACGGUGAGGGAUGAAAGCUGGGGGAGCGAACCGGAUUAGAUACCCGGGUAGUCCCAGCUGUAAACGAUGCAGGCUGGGUGUUUGGACGGCCACGUGCCGUUCUAGUGCCGCAGGGAAGCUGUUAAGCCUGCCGCCUGGGGAGUACGAUCGCAAGAUUGAAACUUAAAGGAAUUGGCGGGGGAGCAC
rnacentral:rRNA from 1 species